UACGAAGGGGGCUAGCGUUGUUCGGAAUCACUGGGCGUAAAGCGCACGUAGGCGGACUUUUAAGCCAGGGGUGAAAGCCUGAGGCUCAACCUCAGAACUGCCCUUGAUACUGGGAGUCUUGAGUAUGGUAGAGGUUGGUGGAACAGCAAGUGUAGAGGUGAAAUUCGUAGAUAUUUGCUAGAACACCAGUGGCGAAGGCGGCCAACUGGACCAUAACUGACGCUGAGGUGCGAAAGCGUGGGGAGCAAACAGG
rnacentral:rRNA from 1 species